rnacentral:snRNA from 1 species
GUGCUCAUUUUGGCAGCACAUAUACUAAAGUUGGAACGAUACAGAGAAGAUUAGUAUGGCCCCUGUGCAA